rnacentral:rRNA from 1 species
UACGGGGGGGGGAAGCGUUGUUCGGAAUUACUGGGCGUAAAGGGCUCGUAGGCGGCCAACUAAGUCAUACGUGAAAUCCCUCAGCUUAACUGGGGAACUGCGUGUGAUACUGGAUGGCUUGGAUUUGGGAGAGGGAUGUGGAAUUCCAGGUGUAGCGGUGAAAUGCGUAGAUAUCUGGAGGAACACCGGUGGCGAAGGCGGCAUCCUGGACCGGUAUUGACGCUGAGGCGCGAAAGCCAGGGGAGCAAACGGG